rnacentral:rRNA from 1 species
AGUGAACGCUGGCGGCGUGCCUAAUACAUGCAAGUCGAACGAAGUGGCGCACGGGUGCGUAAUAUAUAGUUAAUCUGCCCUACACAGAGGAACAACAGUUGGAAACGACUGCUAAUACCCCAUAGUGUAGGAUGAGACUAUAUCGUAUCAGCUAGUUGGUAAGGUAAUGGCGUAACAAGGCUAUGACGCGUAACUGGUCUGAGAGGAUGAGCAGUCACAUUGAAAGUGAGACACGGUGCGAACUCCUUCGGGAGGGAGCAGAAAGGGAUAGUGCGCAAUGGGGGGAACCCUGACGGGGCACCGCCGCGUGGAGGAUGACAAUUUGCGAGGAGGAGGCUCCUAUUAUCAGGAAAGCGGUACCUGAUGAAUAAGCACCGGCUAACUCCGUGCCAGCAGCCGCGGUAAUAC